AAGAUGCUAGUAUAACUACAAAUACACUGCCUUGUCAAGGCAGAGCUGUGGGUUAGACCCCCGCGCAACUUG
rnacentral:tRNA from 1 species